GGAGGAUGCGAGCAUUAUCCGGAUUUAUUGGGUUUAAAGGGAGCGCAGACGGGUCGUUAAGUCAGCUGUGAAAGUUUGGGGCUCAACCUUAAAAUUGCAGUUGAUACUGGCGUCCUUGAGUACGGUUGAGGCAGGCGGAAUUCGUGGUGUAGCGGUGAAAUGCUUAGAUAUCACGAAGAACCCCGAUUGCGAAGGCAGCCUGCUAAGCCGCCACUGACGUUGAGGCUCGAAAGUGCGGGUAUCAAACAGGAUUAGAUACCCUGGUAGUCCGCACGGUAAACGAUGGAUACUCGCUGUUGGCGAUAGACGGUCAGCGGCCAAGCGAAAGCGUUAAGUAUCCCACCUGGGGAGU
rnacentral:rRNA from 1 species